UUUGAGUCUGCGAUUUCCGAAUGGGGAAACCCAACUGCACAAGCAGUUACUGUUAACUGAAUACAUAGGUUAACAGAGCAAACCGGGGGAACUGAAACAUCUAAGUACCCCGAGGAGAAGAAAUCAACCGAGAUUCCGGUAGUAGCGGCGAGCGAACCUGGAUUAGCCCUUAAGCACUCGGUGAAGUAGGUGAACAAGCUGGAAAGCUUGGCGAUACAGGGUGAUAGCCCCGUAACCGACGCUUCAUCGAGCGUGAAAUCGAGUAGGGCGGGACACGUGAUAUCCUGUCUGAAUAUGGGGGGACCAUCCUCCAAGGCUAAAUACUCCUGACUGACCGAUAGUGAACCAGUACCGUGAGGGAAAGGCGAAAAGAACCCCUGUGAGGGGAGUGAAAUAGAACCUGAAACCGUGUACGUACAAGCAGUAGGAGCACCUUCGUGGUGUGACUGCGUACCUUUUGUAUAAUGGGUCAGCGACUUAUAUUCAGUGGCAAGGUUAACCGUAUAGGGGAGCCGUAGCGAAAGCGAGUCUUAACUGGGCGCUCAGUCUCUGGAUAUAGACCCGAAACCGGGUGAUCUAGCCAUGGGCAGGUUGAAGGUUGAGUAACAUCAACUGGAGGACCGAACCGACUAAUGUUGAAAAAUUAGCGGAUGACUUGUGGCUAGGGGUGAAAGGCCAAUCAAACUCGGAGAUAGCUGGUUCUCCCCGAAAGCUAUUUAGGUAGCGCCUCGGACGAAUACUACUGGGGGUAGAGCACUGUUAAGGCUAGGGGGUCAUCCCGACUUACCAACCCUUUGCAAACUCCGAAUACCAGUAAGUACUAUCCGGGAGACACACGGCGGGUGCUAACGUCCGUCGUGGAGAGGGAAACAACCCAGACCGCCAGCUAAGGUCCCAAAGUAUUGCUAAGUGGGAAACGAUGUGGGAAGGCUCAGACAGCUAGGAUGUUGGCUUAGAAGCAGCCAUCAUUUAAAGAAAGCGUAAUAGCUCACUAGUCGAGUCGGCCUGCGCGGAAGAUGUAACGGGGCUAAGCAAUACACCGAAGCUGCGGCAAUGCCUUUUAGGUAUUGGGUAGGGGAGCGUUCUGUAAGCCGUUGAAGGUGGUCUGUAAGGGCUGCUGGAGGUAUCAGAAGUGCGAAUGCUGACAUGAGUAACGACAAAGGGGGUGAAAAACCUCCUCGCCGGAAGACCAAGGGUUCCUGUCCAACGUUAAUCGGGGCAGGGUGAGUCGACCCCUAAGGUGAGGCCGAAAGGCGUAAUCGAUGGGAAACGGGUUAAUAUUCCCGUACUUCUGACUAUUGCGAUGGGGGGACGGAGAAGGCUAGGUGGGCCAGGCGACGGUUGUCCUGGUUCAAGUGCGUAGGCUUAAGAGUUAGGUAAAUCCGGCUCUUUCUAAGGCUGAGACACGACGUCGAGCUGCUACGGCAGUGAAGUCAUUGAUGCCAUGCUUCCAGGAAAAGCCUCUAAGCUUCAGAUAGUCAGGAAUCGUACCCCAAACCGACACAGGUGGUCGGGUAGAGAAUACCAAGGCGCUUGAGAGAACUCGGGUGAAGGAACUAGGCAAAAUGGUACCGUAACUUCGGGAGAAGGUACGCUCUUGAUGGUGAAGUCCCUUGCGGAUGGAGCUGACGAGAGUCGCAGAUACCAGGUGGCUGCAACUGUUUAUUAAAAACACAGCACUGUGCAAAAUCGCAAGAUGACGUAUACGGUGUGACGCCUGCCCGGUGCCGGAAGGUUAAUUGAUGGGGUUAGCGCAAGCGAAGCUCUUGAUCGAAGCCCCGGUAAACGGCGGCCGUAACUAUAACGGUCCUAAGGUAGCGAAAUUCCUUGUCGGGUAAGUUCCGACCUGCACGAAUGGCGUAAUGAUGGCCACGCUGUCUCCACCCGAGACUCAGUGAAAUUGAAAUCGCUGUGAAGAUGCAGUGUACCCGCGGCUAGACGGAAAGACCCCGUGAACCUUUACUACAGCUUGGCACUGAACAUUGAACCUACAUGUGUAGGAUAGGUGGGAGGCUAUGAAGACGUGACGCUAGUUGCGUUGGAGCCGUCCUUGAAAUACCACCCUUGUAUGUUUGAUGUUCUAACUUAGCCCCAUUAUCUGGGGUGAGGACAGUGCCUGGUGGGUAGUUUGACUGGGGCGGUCUCCUCCCAAAGAGUAACGGAGGAGCACGAAGGUGGGCUAAUCACGGUUGGACAUCGUGAGGUUAGUGCAAUGGCAUAAGCCCGCUUAACUGCGAGAAUGACGGUUCGAGCAGGUGCGAAAGCAGGUCAUAGUGAUCCGGUGGUUCUGUAUGGAAGGGCCAUCGCUCAACGGAUAAAAGGUACUCCGGGGAUAACAGGCUGAUACCGCCCAAGAGUUCAUAUCGACGGCGGUGUUUGGCACCUCGAUGUCGGCUCAUCACAUCCUGGGGCUGAAGUCGGUCCCAAGGGUAUGGCUGUUCGCCAUUUAAAGUGGUACGCGAGCUGGGUUUAGAACGUCGUGAGACAGUUCGGUCCCUAUCUGCCGUGGGCGUUGGAAGAUUGAAGGGGGCUGCUCCUAGUACGAGAGGACCGGAGUGGACGAACCUCUGGUGUUCGGGUUGUGUCGCCAGACGCAUUGCCCGGUAGCUAAGUUCGGAAUUGAUAAGCGCUGAAAGCAUCUAAGCGCGAAGCGAGCCCUGAGAUGAGUCUUCCCUGACC
rnacentral:rRNA from 1 species